rnacentral:rRNA from 1 species
AACGAACGCUGGCGGCAGGCUUAACACAUGCAAGUCGAGCGCCUCGCAAGAGGAGCGGCAGCCGGGUGAGUACCGCGUGGGAACGUACCCUUAUCUUCGGAAUAGCUCUGGGAAACUGGAAGUAAUACCGAAUGUGCCCUUAGGGGGAAAGAUUUAUCGGAUAAGGAUCGGCCCGCGUUGGAUUAGCUAGUUGGUGGGGUAAAGGCCUACCAAGGCGACGAUCCAUAGCUGGUCUGAGAGGAUGAUCAGCCACAUUGGGACUGAGACACGGCCCAAACUCCUACGGGAGGCAGCAGUGGGGAAUAUUGGACAAUGGGCGCAAGCCUGAUCCAGCCAUGCCGCGUGAGUGAUGAAGGCCUUAGGGUUGUAAAGCUCUUUCACCGGAGAAGAUAAUGACGGUAUCCGGAGAAGAAGCCCCGGCUAACUUCGUG